rnacentral:rRNA from 1 species
GAGUUUGAUCGUGGCUCAGGAUGAACGCUGGCGGCGUGCCUAACACAUGCAAGUCGAACGGAGUUUAUGAGGAAGAAGCUUCGGCGGAAUUCUUAUAAACUUAGUGGCGGACGGGUGAGUAACACGUGGAGAACCUGCCUCUUACCGGGGGACAGCAGUUGGAAACGACUGAUAAUACCGCAUAAGCGCACGAGACCGCAUGGUCCUGUGUGAAAAGAUUUAUCGGUAAGAGAUGGCUCCGCGUCUGAUUAGCCAGUUGGCGGGGUAACGGCCCACCAAAGCGACGAUCAGUAGCCGGCCUGAGAGGGUGAACGGCCACAUUGGGACUGAGACACGGCCCAGACUCCUACGGGAGGCAGCAGUGGGGGAGUAUUGCACAAUGGAGGAAACUCUGAUGCAGCGACGCCGCGUGAGUGAAGAAGUAUUUCGGUAUGUAAAGCUCUAUCAGCAGGGAGAAAGACCUCGAAAGAGGGAUGACGGUACCUGAGUAAG